UAAAAGAUGGUUUCAUGCACCCUACAGAAAAAAUACUGAAUAGCUGCAAAUGCCUCUUAAGAGAGAGCUGUAUUAAAAUAUUAGAAAACCUAGUUUGCAUCCAUCAAAAGCCUGAUUCUGAACCUUUAAAUAUUAUCAAGAGUUUUAUGAUUGAUUUCAGCAGGAACAAAGAAAGAGAAAAGAUUCAACCAUUUCUUUCAGCUACCUCCUUGCUUAUCUCUAUCGUGGCUACAGGCUCUCUCGUCACACAGUACAACGCACAGGUCUUGGCCCCUGGUUGGAAGGUCACUUCACGUGUGAAGGUUCCCCCAAAGGCUGAAAAGUGUCUGGAUUCCAGUCUUCUCUCAAACUCCUGCCAUCAGACCUCUCAAAUAUGUGAGAACUUGUUGGUGCAGAUAAAUAAAGAAGUGUUUGUUAACAUGGAAGAA